AGAACGAACGCUGGCGGCAUGCCUAAUACAUGCAAGUCGAACGAACUCUUCGGAGUUAGUGGCGCACGGGUGCGUAACGCGUGGGAAUCUGCCCUUGGGGUUCGGAAUAACAGUUGGAAACGACUGCUAAUACCGGAUGAUGACGAAAGUCCAAAGAUUUAUCGCCCAGGGAUGACGCCCGGCGUAGGAUUAGCUAGUUGGUGAGGUAAAGGCUCAACAAGGCGACGAUCCUUAGCUGGUCUGAGAGGAUGAUCGACGCCACACGUGGGACUGAGACACGGCCCAGACCUCCGUACGGGAG
rnacentral:rRNA from 1 species